AUUGAACGCUGGCGGCAUGCCUUACACAUGCAAGUCGAACGGCAGCACGGGAGCAAUCCUGGUGGCGAGCGGCGAACGGGUGAGUAAUAUAUCGGAACGUGCCCAGUAGUGGGGGAUAACUGCUCGAAAGAGCAGCUAAUACCGCAUACGACCUGAGGGUGAAAGGGGGGGAGCGCAAGACCUCUCGCCAUUGGAGCGGCCGAUAUCAGAUUAGCUAGUUGGUGGGGUAAAGGCCUACCAAGGCAACGAUCUGUAGUUGGUCUGAGCGGACGACCAGCCACACUGGGACUGAGACACGGCCCAGACUCCUACGGGAGGCAGCAGUGGGGAAUUUUGGACAAUGGGCGCAAGCCUGAUCCAGCAAUGCCGCGUGCAGGAAGAAGGCCUUCGGGUUGUAAACUGCUUUUGUCAGGGAAGAAAUCCUCUAGGUUAAUACCCUUGGGGGGAUGACGGUACCUGAAGAAUAAGCACCGGCUAACUACGUGCCAGCCGCCGCCGUAAGAC
rnacentral:rRNA from 1 species